GUCUGUAAGUUCGGAUUACGUGUUCUGUUGUCAAAGUGCCAAUAUAAGACUCACAUUUUUGUGUAAUCUUUCAACAUGUUCCAACUCGUUACCAAAUGGGAAUGAUAAAAUUAAGGUGAAGAAGCAAGGACUGUUGCCGCCUCCAGUCCCUUAUCUUGACAACGAUCAGAUCAGUGAGAUCGCCAAUUGCGCCGCAAAACGAGUUGAAAGUUUACCAUUGUUUGAAGCCAAACCUUUAAAGACCAAGAAAAAAAUCAACAAACAGAUCAAUGAUAUUAUAGCAUUGCCAAAAGAUUUCUCAGAGGAAAGACUGGAGCAGAUAAGGAAGUAUGCUGCCAUUUAUAGACGGUUUGAUUCAAAAAGAC